rnacentral:rRNA from 1 species
UGGGGAAUUUUGCACAAUGGGGGAAACCCUGAUGCAGCGACGCCGCGUGAUUUAGAAGGCCUUCGGGUUGUAAAAAUCUUUUGUAUGGGAAGAAAAUGACAGUACCAUACGAAUAAGGACCGGCUAAUUACGUGCCAGCAGCCGCGGUAAUACGUAAGGUCCGAGCGUUGUCCGGAAUCAUUGGGCGUAAAGGGUACGUAGGCGGAUAAGCAAGUUAGAAGUGAAAUCCUAUAGCUCAACUAUAGUAAGCUUUUAAAACUGCUCAUCUUGAGGUAUGGAAGGGAAAGUGGAAUUCCUAGUGUAGCGGUGAAAUGCGCAGAUAUUAGGAGGAAUACCGGGGGCGAAGGCGACUUUCUGGCCAUAUACUGACGCUGAGGUACGAAAGCGUGGGUAGCAAACAGG